rnacentral:rRNA from 1 species
GACGAACGCUGGCGGCGUGCUUAACACAUGCAAGUCGAGCGGUAAGGCCUUUCGGGGUACCCGAGCGGCGAACGGGUGAGUAACACGUGGGUGAUCUGCCCUGCACCUCGGUUUAAGUCUGGGAAACUGGGUCUAAUACUGGAUAUGACCUCCUAUCGCCUGGCGGGUGGAGGCAAGAUUUAUCGGUGCAGGAUGGGCGCGCGGCCUAUCAGCUCGUUGGUGGGGUAAGGGCCUACCAAGGCGACGACGGGUAGCCGACCUGAGAGGGUGAACGGCGACAAGGGGACUGAGGGAGGGCGCAGACGCGUACGGUAGGCAGCAGGGGGGAGUAUGACACAAUGAGCGAGAGCCUGUUGCGGCGGCGCUCGGUUAGUGAAGACCGCCUGCGGGGUGUGAACAGCAGUCGGCAAGGACGAAGCGGAUGUGACGGUACCUGAAGAAGAAGCACCGGCUAACUACGUG